CCUACGGGAGGCAGCAGUGGGGAAUAUUGCACAAUGGGGGAAACCCUGAUGCAGCGACGCCGCGUGAGUGAAGAAGUAUUUCGGUAUGUAAAGCUCUAUCAGCAGGGAAGAAGAAAGACGGUAGCUGACUAAGAAGCCUCGGCCAACUACGUGCCAGCAGCCGCGGUAAUACGGAGGGGGCAAGCGUUAGACGGAUUUACUGGUGGUAAAGGGAGCGGAGACGGCUGUGCAAGGCAGCAGUGAAAGCCCAGGGCUCAACCCUGUGACUGUUUUGGAAACUGUGGAGCUAGAGUGCUGGAGAGGUAAGUGGAAUUCCUAGUGUAGCGGUGAAAUGCGUAGAUAUUAGGAGGAACACCAGUGGCGAAGGCGGCUUACUGGACAGUAACUGACGUUGAGGCUCGAAAGCGUGGGGAGCAAACAGGAUUAGAUACCCUUGUAGUC
rnacentral:rRNA from 1 species